rnacentral:rRNA from 1 species
AUUCACCCCUCCAAAUGCAAUUGCAUGGAGAGAACCUUUGGAGUAUGGAAAAUGGAAUGGCAAAUUCUCCUCAAGAUGCCAAACUACUCGUUCCAAACACAUAUGAAGAUUGUUGCAGCUACUAUGACAUUGCACAACUAUGUUCGCCUCCAUAACAAAGAUGAUCUCCACUUUAUUCGAUGUGAAAGAGAUCCGGAUUAUGUUCCAACAAUUCCGGAUAGAUACAAGAAGUAUGUUAUUCCUUCCAGUGCAUCGGAUGCUUCUACUUCGGAGGCAAGUGCUCCUGAUAUGGAUAGGUUUAGAAUGAACUAG